CUUUAGAGCUUUGUUAUUGCUUAUAAAGCUUCUCUUUCUAAACUUUUUCGUAGGAUAAAAACAUUUCUCCAUGGGGGCUCUCUAAGAGUUUACAGGAGAUGUUCAAAUGUAUCGUCCAUGUGGGCAGCUCUGAUUCACUGCUCUGUGUGUGGCAUUGUGGAUAUUGAUAGACGGAAACGUGCUGUGCCCUUUAUUACUGCCUGCAUUUCCCCCGUAUCCUGCCACUAGCGUGCUUGCUGCCCCCUUCUUUGCCAGCCCUCUAAUGCUGGAUUGAACUUCAGUACCAACGCCUGAAACAGGUGUCCUGGCUGGGGUUUUUGGUUGCAGGAAACGGAAUCCAUCAGAGCUACUUCACACACAUUUAUUAAAGGAAGUAUUUUAUAGAAUUAGGAGAAUUUGAAGAUAUCAGCUGUAGGUGAAGCUUGACACCUUCCAGACCAUGUAACAGAAUGAGGCUGCCAGGGAGCUCCUGUCUUGACCAUGACCAGGAU
rnacentral:lncRNA from 1 species